UUACGGCCACAUCAUGUUGAAACACCGGUUCCCGUGCGAUCAUCGAAGUCAAGCAACGUCGGGCCUGGUCAGUACCUUGAUGAGUGAAGGCUUGGGAAUACCAGGUGCUGUAAG